rnacentral:rRNA from 2 species
UACAUGCAAGUCGAGCGGUAGAGAGGUGCUUGCACCUCUUGAGAGCGGCGGACGGGUGAGUAAUACCUAGGAAUCUGCCUGGUAGUGGGGGAUAACGUUCGGAAACGGACGCUAAUACCGCAUACGUCCUACGGGAGAAAGCAGGGGACCUUCGGGCCUUGCGCUAUCAGAUGAGCCUAGGUCGGAUUAGCUAGUUGGUGAGGUAAUGGCUCACCAAGGCUACGAUCCGUAACUGGUCUGAGAGGAUGAUCAGUCACACUGGAACUGAGACACGGUCCAGACUCCUACGGGAGGCAGCAGUGGGGAAUAUUGGACAAUGGGCGAAAGCCUGAUCCAGCCAUGCCGCGUGUGUGAAGAAGGUCUUCGGAUUGUAAAGCACUUUAAGUUGGGAGGAAGGGCAUUAACCUAAUACGUUAGUGUUUUGACGUUACCGACAGAAUAAGCACCGGCUAACUCUGUGCCAGCAGCCGCGGUAAUACAGAGGGUGCAAGCGUUAAUCGGAAUUACUGGGCGUAAAGCGCGCGUAGGUGGUUUGUUAAGUUGAAUGUGAAAUCCCCGGGCUCAAC